rnacentral:tRNA from 1 species
GGUUAGCCAGGUGUGAUGUGCAUAUAGAUUUUUCGUUUCUGUGGAGUUAGAUUGUUUUAACGGUUAGCA